rnacentral:lncRNA from 1 species
UUUUAUCCUUUAUGUUGCGAUGCGCAACCCAAUUCAAAUUAUAAAUAAAUACUGUUGCAGCGUGCAACCCGAUCCAAAUAUAAUAUUGUUGCGGUGUGCAACCCGAUCCAAAUAUAAUAUUCUUGCAGCGUGCAACCCCAUUCAAAUAUAAUAUUGUUGCGGGGUGGAAUCCUAUCCCAAUAUACAAUUCUACACCAAUCACAAAGUGUCUCGGCAAAGGGAACAAUAAG